rnacentral:tRNA from 2 species
CGCCCGGACGCAGCCCGGCUAUGGAUGCGGGGAGUCCGACCCCGUGGCCCGGGUUCGAAUCCCGGCCGGGCUACCA